rnacentral:rRNA from 1 species
AUUGAACGCUGGCGGCAGGCCUAACACAUGCAAGUCGAACGAGUGGCGGACGGGUGAGUAAUGUCUGGGAAACUGCCUGAUGUAGGGGGAUAACUGAUGGAAACGGUAGCUAAUACCGCAUACCAUCAGAUGUGCCCAGCUGGGAUUAGCUAGUUGGUGGGGUAACGGAUCACCAAGGCGACGAUCCCUAGCUGGUCUGAGAGGAUGACCGGCCACACUGGAACUGAGACACGGUCCAGACUCCUACGGGAGGCAGCAGUGGGGAAUAUUGCACAAUGGGCGCAAGCCUGAUGCAGCCAUGCCGCGUGUGUGAAGAAGGCCUUCGGAUUGUAAAGUACUUUCAGCGGAGAGGCGUUACCCGCAGAGGAAGCACCGGCUAACUCCGUGCCAGCAGCCGCGGUAAUUC